rnacentral:rRNA from 1 species
AUUGAACGCUGGCGGCAGGCUUAACACAUGCAAGUCGAGCGGAGCGGCGGACGGGUGAGUAAUGCCUAGGAAUCUGCCUGGUAGUGGGGGAUAACGUCCGGAAACGGGCGCUAAUACCGCAUACUAUCAGAUGAGCCUAGGUCGGAUUAGCUAGUUGGUGGGGUAAAGGCCUACCAAGGCGACGAUCCGUAACUGGUCUGAGAGGAUGAUCAGUCACACUGGAACUGAGACACGGUCCAGACUCCUACGGGAGGCAGCAGUGGGGAAUAUUGGACAAUGGGCGAAAGCCUGAUCCAGCCAUGCCGCGUGUGUGAAGAAGGCCUUCGGGUUGUAAAGCACUUUCAGCGAGGAGGCGUUACUCGCAGAAGAAGCACCGGCUAACUCCGUGCCAGCAGCCGCGGUAAUAC